UUCUAUCUACGAAUUUUUUUCAAUGAUCAGUACUCAUUCCUUUUUCCUGCUUAGAUGCUAGAAAUGGUGGUCCGUCUUAUCGAAUGAUACAAUUUUCUUGUUACGGAUUUUAGGCGUCCCGAGUUUCUUUUAAUAAAUUUCUUCUUUCUUAAAAAAGACAUGUUAUUUCCGUUUUUGGAAAGUGGCAUAUUUUUCAGGCUUGUGAUUCUCCUUCAAUGACAUAGAAAAUGGUAUCAAUCGGUAACUGAAUCUCCAUGCUCUGAGUCGGAUAAAGGAACGAGUAUUUGAUCGGACACUUUUCCGGCGCCGCGAAUCUUUCGACGGUUUUUCAAGAAUCCGGUGAUUCUCUUUUAGUAGUAUCCAGAAAGGAGAUGAUCCACGAAAGAAUCUCAACCUGCUUCGCGAGGGGCCCAAAUAUAUGCCGGCAGCUGCUUUUCAAACCAGUCUGUUCCUCCAUUCAGAAGCACUUGCUACUGAAAAAGAUAUGGAACUAAGCAAGGGUGACAGCGACGCUGCCUCUUCAUUCCUCAUUUGGUGCACGUAAUUGCCUAUUCGGAUUGGCUACAUUUGAUUCUACCGGUAGUAAUCCAUUCAAGAAGCUGCUUGCACUUAUCUUCCCACAGUUGGAAUUAGGAUGAUUUUCAAUUUUUUGUGUGUUAAUGUCCACGCCAUCUUCAUGAAUUCGGGUGACGGUCCUCGAAUCGUCGAAAAUUUUGUGGGCUAUUCAGAAACGACCUAAUGAACAAUAGUCAUUGUUUCGCCAUGACCGUUCCUUAUUUUUUUGGCACUUUUAGGGUAAUAAAACAAAGAUUCGGGACAAUUUCUAAUUUUUUAUUUACUAAUGUCCUCGUCAUCUUUAUGAAUUCGUGCGACAGGCACCGAAUCGCCUAAAUUUUGUGGACCCA